rnacentral:rRNA from 1 species
GAUGAACGCUAGCGGCAGGCUUAAUACAUGCAAGUCAAGGGGUCAGCAAUGACACCGGCGGACGGGUGAGUAACGCGUACACAACGUACCUUUAACUGGGGGAUAGCAUUUGGAAACGAGUGGUAAUACCGCAUGUGGUUGUAGGGAGGCAUCUUUUUGCAACUAAAACUCAGGUGGUUAAAGAUCGGUGUGCGUCCGAUGAGCUUGUUGGUGAGGUAAUGGCUCACCAAGGCGACGAUCGGUAGGGGGCGUGAGAGCGUGAACCCCCACACGGGUACUGAGACACGGACCCGACUCCUACGGGAGGCAGCAGUAAGGAAUAUUGGUCAAUGGAGGCAACUCUGAACCAGCCAUGCCGCGUGAAAGGAAGAAGGCGCUAUGCGUUGUAAACUUCUUUUGGGGUGGGAAGAAAAUGGUCAAUUUAUUGGCAAACUGACGGUACCAUCAGAAUAAGCACCGGCUAACUCCGUGCCAGCA